rnacentral:misc_RNA from 1 species
AAGUCGUAACAAGGUUUCCGUAGGUGAACCUGCGGAAGGAUCAUUAUCGAGUUUUGAAACGGGUUGUAGCUGGUCUCUCCGGAGGCAUGUGCACGCCCUGCUCAUCCACUCUACACCUGUGCACUUACUGUGGGUAUUGGAAGGCGUCGCGCCGUUUCUUACGGGUGAGGCGUUAACCGUGCCUACGUUUUACUACAAACGCUUCAGUAUCAGAAUGUGUAUUGCGAUGUAACGCAUCUAUAUACAACUUUCAGCAACGGAUCUCUUGGCUCUC